GGGGUGAGUAACACGUGGGUAAUCAACCCUCGAUACUGGGAUAGCCCGGGGAAACCCGGAUUAAUACCGGAUGGCCCUUUGGAUCCUCGGAUCUGAAGGAAAAGGUAGCUUCGGCCUCCGAUCGAGGACGAGCCCGCGGCGGAUUAGCUUGUUGGUGAGGUAACGGCCCACCAAGGCGACGAUCCGUAGCUGGUCUGAGAGGACGAUCAGCCACACUGGGACUGAGACACGGCCCAG
rnacentral:rRNA from 1 species